UGUGAGCAGACCAUUGUUAGGACAUGAAGCAGUGUCCCCACCUAGUAACCUGCAUGUUCAGCACAUUCUGCUCCUCUGUUUCAUGGCUACAGGACUAUUACUUUGUACAACGUUUCCGUGAAGCCCGGAAGAUUGGCUAGAGAGGCUGAUUGGAAGCAAGAUUUAAUCACUGAUGUUGAGCUGAAAUGACGGGAUCAGUCAACAACACAGUGGCCAGAACUCGGGUGAAGUCAUAGAAAACUGCACCACAAGCAUGCUCUGUAGAGAGACAUAAUGAGACAUCUGUGAGAAGGCAUGGAUUGCAGUUUGCCACGAUUGCCUCGUUAGCCUGCAAAGACAAAACAAGACAUGAGAGACAAUGCAGUGACGCUUCAACCCCAGGAAUUUAAAAUCUGAGUAGUCUGCAGGAUAACUUGAAAUUUUAUUGAAGCUGGGACAUGGGGAUGCUUUUGAACUGAGUAACAAAUGCUGGAGAAAGACAACUGAUACAGGCUGAACAUCACCCUAAAAACCCUUUCUGAGAUGCACGGCUUCAUUUUCAUUUUGUUACAUUAAAAAGCCAAUCUCUCAUGUGGAAAUGCCCUGAUGGCUGAGUUUUCCUAAUUUUUAAAUGGUGCUGGAAGUACAAACUGUCAUGGAAACAAGCAAGCUACGGUUUUAGGGAAAGAAGGAGCAGCAAAUAAUCUCAGAUCAUACAGGUGAAGGAACAAGUACCUUGGAAAACACAGUAAGCAAGUCAUGUCCCCUGCUUCAGGCCAAAGGAGGGAAUGGCGGGGUACCAAGCACAUGGAGAAUGGGUUUUAGUGUCAGCCAAAGCAGGGUUUGGAUUCCAGCC